ensembl:lncRNA
GAUGAAUGUGGUUCACUAUUUCAGUUCAAAUGGACACAUUCUAUUAAAGCACUUUACAAGAACACGUUGUUUUGGACGUACGGCAUGAGCUGAGGCCGAAGACUAACAAUAAAGAGACCAGGAUGUACAGUGGCCCUGGAGCUGAAGACUGAGAAAUUGCAGUGUCCAGAAAUCGAGACUCAUCAGACCAGGCAACAUUCUUCCAGUCUUCAACUGUCCAAUUUUGUAGUAAAUGUUAUCGAUCAGCGAGGAGAGUUCGAUGAUGGAAGAUGAGGCCCCAUUGAGACCAACAGCAGCUUCGAGUCGGGAACCAGCACCGGUGGCAGCACCGACAUAGUCAACUUCCAGCGAACCACCUGGGAAUCUAUUUUCUUCACAAAAAUGUAGAACCUGUGGAAGAAACAGCAUUGGGAGCAUGAGCCUCUAACUGUCCUAAUGGAGAUGCAGGAAGCAGAUGUGGAGCAGCAGGAACUGAACUGGGCUCAGCGUGAGCAGCACCUACAGUGGGUCAUCGAAGAUGUGGCACAUGCAAGGGAGCUGGAAGCAAACUUGAGGAGGGAGGACAAUGCUCAAACGGCAGCCUUCAAUUAAGCCUUCCUUGCUACACUGAGCCAGCUUGUACAGGCAUUGAAUGGCCAGCCUUCCCCGAAUCCGCUGCCUCUGGACCAUACCCCCUGUGCCAAAUAUGAUAUUUUAUACUUUGCACUACUUUGUAUUUGCA